UACGAAGGGGGCUAGCGUUGUUCGGAAUCACUGGGCGUAAAGCGCACGUAGGCGGAUUUUUAAGUCAGGGGUGAAAGCCCGUGGCUCAACCACGGAAUGGCCUUCGAUACUGGUUGGCUUGAGACCGGAAGAGGACAGCGGAACUGCGAGUGUAGAGGUGAAAUUCGUAGAUAUUCGCAAGAACACCAGUGGCGAAGGCGGCUGUCUGGUCCGGUUCUGACGCUGAGGCGCGAAAGCGUGGGGAGCAAACAGG
rnacentral:rRNA from 1 species